GGGUUGUGAGGUUAAGCGACUAAGCGUACACGGUGGAUGCCCUGGCAGUCAGAGGCGAUGAAGGGCGUGCUAAUCUGCGAUAAGCGCCGGUAAGGUGAUAUGAACCGUUAUAACCGGCGAUACCCGAAUGGGGAAACCCAGUGUGAUUCGUCACACUAUCAUUAACUGAAUCCAUAGGUUAAUGAGGCGAACCGGGGGAACUGAAACAUCUAAGUACCCCGAGGAAAAGAAAUCAACCGAGAUUCCCCCAGUAGCGGCGAGCGAACGGGGAGGAGCCCAGAGCCUGAAUCAGCAUGUGUGUUAGUGGAAGCGUCUGGAAAGGCGCGCGAUACAGGGUGACAGCCCCGUACACAAAAGCGCAUGUGCUGUGAGCUCGAUGAGUAGGGCGGGACACGUGGUAUCCUGUCUGAAUAUGGGGGGACCAUCCUCCAAGGCUAAAUACUCCUGACUGACCGAUAGUGAACCAGUACCGUGAGGGAAAGGCGAAAAGAACCCCGGCGAGGGGAGUGAAAAAGAACCUGAAACCGUGUACGUACAAGCAGUGGGAGCACCCUUUGGGUGUGACUGCGUACCUUUUGUAUAAUGGGUCAGCGACUUAUAUUCUGUAGCAAGGUUAACCGAAUAGGGGAGCCGGAGGGAAACCGAGUCUUAAUUGGGCGUUAAGUUGCAGGGUAUAGACCCGAAACCCGGUGAUCUAGCCAUGGGCAGGUUGAAGGUUGGGUAACACUAACUGGAGGACCGAACCGACUAAUGUUGAAAAAUUAGCGGAUGACCUGUGGCUGGGGGUGAAAGGCCAAUCAAACCGGGAGAUAGCUGGUUCUCCCCGAAAGCUAUUUAGGUAGCGCCUCGUGAAUUCAUCUCCGGGGGUAGAGCACUGUUUCGGCUAGGGGGCCAUCCCGGCUUACCAACCCGAUGCAAACUGCGAAUACCGGAGAAUGUUAUCACGGGAGACACACGGCGGGUGCUAACGUCCGUCGUGAAGAGGGAAACAACCCAGACCGCCAGCUAAGGUCCCAAAGUCAUGGUUAAGUGGGAAACGAUGUGGGAAGGCCCAGACAGCCAGGAUGUUGGCUUAGAAGCAGCCAUCAUUUAAAGAAAGCGUAAUAGCUCACUGGUCGAGUCGGCCUGCGCGGAAGAUGUAACGGGGCUAAACCAUGCACCGAAGCUGCGGCAGCGACACUGUGUGUUGUUGGGUAGGGGAGCGUUCUGUAAGCCUGUGAAGGUGUGUCGUGAGGCAUGCUGGAGGUAUCAGAAGUGCGAAUGCUGACAUAAGUAACGAUAAAGCGGGUGAAAAGCCCGCUCGCCGGAAGACCAAGGGUUCCUGUCCAACGUUAAUCGGGGCAGGGUGAGUCGACCCCUAAGGCGAGGCCGAAAGGCGUAGUCGAUGGGAAACGGGUUAAUAUUCCCGUACUUGGUGUUACUGCGAAGGGGGGACGGAGAAGGCUAUGUUGGCCGGGCGACGGUUGUCCCGGUUUAAGCGUGUAGGUGUGUGUUCCAGGUAAAUCCGGUUCACUUUAACACUGAGGCGUGACGACGAGGCACUACGGUGCUGAAGCAACAAAUGCCCUGCUUCCAGGAAAAGCCUCUAAGCAUCAGGUAACAUCAAAUCGUACCCCAAACCGACACAGGUGGUCAGGUAGAGAAUACCAAGGCGCUUGAGAGAACUCGGGUGAAGGAACUAGGCAAAAUGGUGCCGUAACUUCGGGAGAAGGCACGCUGACACGUAGGUGAAGUGAUUUACUCAUGGAGCUGAAGUCAGUCGAAGAUACCAGCUGGCUGCAACUGUUUAUUAAAAACACAGCACUGUGCAAACACGAAAGUGGACGUAUACGGUGUGACGCCUGCCCGGUGCCGGAAGGUUAAUUGAUGGGGUCAGCGCAAGCGAAGCUCCUGAUCGAAGCCCCGGUAAACGGCGGCCGUAACUAUAACGGUCCUAAGGUAGCGAAAUUCCUUGUCGGGUAAGUUCCGACCUGCACGAAUGGCGUAAUGAUGGCCAGGCUGUCUCCACCCGAGACUCAGUGAAAUUGAACUCGCUGUGAAGAUGCAGUGUACCCGCGGCAAGACGGAAAGACCCCGUGAACCUUUACUAUAGCUUGACACUGAACAUUGAGCCUUGAUGUGUAGGAUAGGUGGGAGGCUUUGAAGUGUGGACGCCAGUCUGCAUGGAGCCGACCUUGAAAUACCACCCUUUAAUGUUUGAUGUUCUAACGUGGACCCGUUACCCGGGUUGCGGACAGUGUCUGGUGGGUAGUUUGACUGGGGCGGUCUCCUCCUAAAGAGUAACGGAGGAGCACGAAGGUUGGCUAAUCCUGGUCGGACAUCAGGAGGUUAGUGCAAUGGCAUAAGCCAGCUUGACUGCGAGCGUGACGGCGCGAGCAGGUGCGAAAGCAGGUCAUAGUGAUCCGGUGGUUCUGAAUGGAAGGGCCAUCGCUCAACGGAUAAAAGGUACUCCGGGGAUAACAGGCUGAUACCGCCCAAGAGUUCAUAUCGACGGCGGUGUUUGGCACCUCGAUGUCGGCUCAUCACAUCCUGGGGCUGAAGUAGGUCCCAAGGGUAUGGCUGUUCGCCAUUUAAAGUGGUACGCGAGCUGGGUUUAGAACGUCGUGAGACAGUUCGGUCCCUAUCUGCCGUGGGCGCUGGAGAACUGAGGGGGGCUGCUCCUAGUACGAGAGGACCGGAGUGGACGCAUCACUGGUGUUCGGGUUGUCAUGCCAAUGGCACUGCCCGGUAGCUAAAUGCGGAAGAGAUAAGUGCUGAAAGCAUCUAAGCACGAAACUUGCCCCGAGAUGAGUUCUCCCUGAGACUUAGAGUCUCCUGAAGGAACGUUGAAGACGACGACGUUGAUAGGCCGGGUGUGUAAGCGCAGCGAUGCGUUGAGCUAACCGGUACUAAUGAACCGUGAGGCUUAACCUUACAACGCCGAAG
rnacentral:rRNA from 69 species